AACGAACGCUGGCGGCGUGCCUAACACAUGCAAGUCGAACGAGACCUUCGGGUCUAGUGGCGCACGGGUGCGUAACGCGUGGGAACCUGCCCUUAGGUUCGGAAUAACUCCCCGAAAGGGGUGCUAAUACCGGAUAAUGUCUUCGGACCAAAGAUUUAUCGCCUUUGGAUGGGCCCGCGUUGGAUUAGCUAGUUGGUAGGGUAAAAGCCUACCAAGGCGACGAUCCAUAGCUGGUCUGAGAGGAUGAUCAGCCACACUGGGACUGAGACACGGCCCAGACUCCUACGGGAGGCAGCAGUGGGGAAUAUUGGACAAUGGGCGAAAGCCUGAUCCAGCAAUGCCGCGUGAGUGAUGAAGGCCUUAGGGUUGUAAAGCUCUUUUACCCGGGAUGAUAAUGACAGUACCGGGAGAAUAAACUCCGGCUAACUCCGU
rnacentral:rRNA from 1 species